rnacentral:rRNA from 1 species
GUAGUCAUAUGCUUGUCUCAAAGAUUAAGCCAUGCAUGUCUAAGUAUAAGCAACUUGUACUGUGAAACUGCGAAUGGCUCAUUAAAUCAGUUAUCGUUUAUUUGAUAGUACCUUACUACAUGGAUACCUGUGGUAAUUCUAGAGCUAAUACAUGCUAAAAACCCCGACUUCAGGAAGGGGUGUAUUUAUUAGAUAAAAAACCAACGCCCUUCGGGGCUCCUUGGUGAAUCAUAAUAACUUAACGAAUCGCAUGGCCUUGCGCCGGCGAUGGUUCAUUCAAAUUUCUGUCCUAUCAACUUUCGAUGGUAGGAUAGUGGCCUACCAUGGUGGCAACGGGUAACGGGGAAUUAGGGUUCGAUUCCGGAGAGGGAGCCUGAGAAACGGCUACCACAUCCAAGGAAGGCAGCAGGCGCGCAAAUUACCCAAUCCCGAUACGGGGAGGUAGUGACAAUAAAUACUGAUACGGGGCUCUUUUGGGUCUCGUAAUUGGAAUGAGAACAAUUUAAAUCCCUUAACGAGG